UGAACGCUGGCGGCGUGCCUAAUACAUGCAAGUCGAGCGAACAGACGAGGAGCUUGCUCCUCUGACGUUAGCGGCGGACGGGUGAGUAACACGUGGAUAACCUACCUAUAAGACUGGGAUAACUUCGGGAAACCGGAGCUAAUACCGGAUAAUAUAUUGAACCGCAUGGUUCAAUAGUGAAAGACGGUUUUGCUGUCACUUAUAGAUGGAUCCGCGCCGCAUUAGCUAGUUGGUAAGGUAACGGCUUACCAAGGCAACGAUGCGUAGCCGACCUGAGAGGGUGAUCGGCCACACUGGUACUGAGACACGGUCCAGACUCCUACGGGAGGCAGCAGUAGGGAAUCUUCCGCAAUGGGCGAAAGCCUGACGGAGCAACGCCGCGUGAGUGAUGAAGGUCUUCGGAUCGUAAAACUCUGUUAUUAGGGAAGAACAAAUGUGUAAGUAACUAUGCACGUCUUGACGGUACCUAAUCAGAAAGCCACGGCUAACUACGUG
rnacentral:rRNA from 1 species